rnacentral:rRNA from 1 species
UACUAGCGGUCCAAGUCGCAGCCACAUUUAUUGGGUCUAAAACAUCCGUAGCUCGCUUGAUAAGUUUCCUGUGAAAUUUCAUUUCUUAAAGAUGAAGCGUGCAGGAAGUACUGUCGAGCUAGAGACUGGAAGACGUAGGAAGUACGAUCAAAGUAGCGGUAAAAUGUGUUGAUCUUGACCGGACUCACAAUAGCGAAGGCAUCCUACGAGGACAGUUCUGACAGUAAGGGAUGAAGGCUAGGGGCGCAAAACGGAUUAGAUACCCCCGUA